GAGAUCGGCGCAUUUGAGAUUGAAUUGCUUGCGGGUAUUCCAGAGUCAAUAACAUGACAUGCAAACUGUUAUUGCUUGCGAAUACACGAGAGCAAUCGCAAUACGAUACAGGGACAUCGAU
rnacentral:pre_miRNA from 10 species